rnacentral:lncRNA from 1 species
AAGCAAAUAGUUAUUUUAAAUUGUAAUAAUAUUUUACAAUAUUACGUUUUUUACUCUAUUUUUGAUCAAAUAAAUGGUGUUUAAGAGAUUUCUUUUAAUCUUACCGACCCCAAACUUUUGAACAGUACUGUAAAUGUCAGCUUGUUUAUUUGUGUGUGCAGAGUUUGGAUGAGAGUAAGCCCCACUGGACCCUGCGUGUAGUGAGUGACCACAGUGAGGCAGGAAGUAUAGAGGUGAAGAAAGACACUGAGAAUCUAGAGGAGAUCAGAGCCAUGAAACUGGCCUGGGAAGCAGCUGAGCCCGGCAGAGCAGCAAAGGCUCAUCAGUCUCGGCUGCACUAUCUCAAAGAGCUGCAAGAACGUGCAGAGAGUAAAGAGCCUGUCACGGCUGAGACAGGUUAAACACAAAGAUACACACAACCAGAUUGUUUAAUACAGGUUUAUAUGGACAUAUUUAUUAUAUGGCCUAAUAUUUUCAUUGUUUGUAUUUUGUAGACAAUCAACCUCAGCCCCAACAGAGUGGAGAGUUCAUACAGAACACUGACAAAAAUGAUAUUGAUUAUACACCAUUUAUCAGGAAGUCUUUGCCGCAGCCUCGUCUAAAGGAUGAAGUGUUGGAGGAGGAGCAGAGGAGGGAACGCUCUGAGAAGUUCCAAAGUUUCCGCCUGAUCUGGGACAAUAUUCUGGAACAGCGUAAACAGGAAAAAAUUGCACGCAAGGAAAUUAUGAAACGACAGCUAGAGACUUACAUUGGCUUUCAGGUUUGUCAUGUGUCGAUAUUAUAAAUGCAGAUUUACACCACACAAAAUCAUUGUUUUUACUGUUGGUAUUUGUACCAUAGCAGAGAAGUCAUUAGAAAAAAAAACAUG